CAAGGGUUAGUUUUAUAGUAAAAUAUCAGUUUUGGAGAUUGGUGAUAGAAAGGUUUCUACCCUUGA
rnacentral:tRNA from 1 species